AUAUGACAUCAGAUUUGACCUAAUUUAUUCCAAUUUGGUGCUCCCCUGUUAUCUAUUGCUGGAAACAAAUAGCGGCUAGGGUUGUCUCUCUUGUUCCAUUCCCAAGCUUUCUUCUGUUUUGCCAAAUCCUUUCACCCUGACUCCCCUUUGCAUCAUGUUCACAAUCUUCUCCACGCUACUUCUGUUUUCGUUUCCAAGCAGAUGGAGAUCGAGGGAAUAAUUAGCCCUGAAUUUGUCAUUCUUUAAGCGUCACUUGUCGUGAAGGUUGAGUGCUUCAUUGAUCUAAUUCAGAUAAAUCACGUUAGGAUUUAUCAAUUAUAGUUCAAGAAAGCGUUCAAAUUCACGGUAAGUGAUUACAGAAGAAUAUGUCAAUCGAAUUACUUACGCCUCUAUCAUAAAAGUUGUCAACAAAGCCAGAUCAUACUGUAUUCAAAGAAGCUAUUGGUUUUGUAAAUGCAAUGAUAUUGAAUCGUCUCGGACCGACAAGGUGCCGGCAGGGGAUUUAAUGUCGGAUCUCGUGUGAAUACCAUAUCGAUAGCCGGAAUGUGAUCGAUCCGGCUUCAGAAGAACCUUAAUCAAAAUAAAGGUUAAUCUUAAUUUGGGAUUGGCCUUCACUGAUUCAUCCGUACAGCAACUAUCCCUAUAUAGACAGGAGAGGAAGAAAGGGAACAAGGGUUAACUUUUCUGAUAGGACUUAUACUUUUGAAUCUCUUUGGUAGAUUUGGCUGAUUUAUCAUGUUUCAAUUAUGUCAAACAUAUUUCUAAACUUUAAAUUUUAGAAAUUGUUCCGAUUUGAGUGAUUUAGUUUACUUGAUUAUAAAUAUUGUAAUAAUUUAAUUUGAUUAUUUCUUUAGUUAUGUUGAUUCUAUUUCAUGAAUAUUUGAGAAGCCACUUACAGAGGUCUGUGAUGAGACUCUGGAUAAGUUUACAAAA